rnacentral:rRNA from 1 species
UACGGAGGGGGCUAGCGUUGUUCGGAAUUACUGGGCGUAAAGGGCGCGCAGGCGGCUGCUCAAGUCAGGCGUGAAAGGCCUGGGCUCAACCCGGGAAUUGCGCUUGAGACUGGGCUGGCUUGAGUGCGGGAGAGGAUGGUGGAAUUCCCAGUGUAGAGGUGAAAUUCGUAGAUAUUGGGAAGAACACCGGUGGCGAAGGCGGCGACCUGGGUCGAGACUGACGCUGAGGCGCGAAAGCGUGGGGAGCAAACAGG